rnacentral:rRNA from 1 species
GGGUUUGAUCCUGGCUCAGAACGAACGCUGGCGGCGUGGUUCAGACAUGCAAGUCGAGCGAUCUGUCUUCGGACAGAGAGCGGCGAAAGGGAGAGUAAUGAGUAGAUAACGUACCCUCUUCACGGGGAUAGCGGCGGUAACUUCGGUUACCUACCGAAAGGGCCGGUAAUGCCCGAUGAUCUCUUUUGGUUAGUACCUUAAGAGCAAAGGCGGGGACCUUCGGGCCUGUCGGGAGAGGAGCGGUCUACUUCCCAUCAGCUUGUUGGUGAGGUAAUGGCUCACCAAGGCGACGACGGGUAGCCGGCCUGAGAGGGUGUUCGGCCUCACUGGGACUGAGACACUGCCCAGAGCCCUACGGGGUGCUGCAGUUUCGAAUCGUUCGCAAUGCGCGAAAGCGUGACGACGCGACGCCGCGUGUGGGAGGAAGGCCUUCGGGUUGUAAACCACUUUUAGGAGGUAUGAAGAGAUGGGGGUCAAUAGCUCCUUGAUCUGACGUCAACUCCAGAAUAAGCACCGGCUAACUUCGUGCCAGCAGCCGCGGUAAGACGAAGGGUGCGAGCGUUGUUCGGUAUCACUGGGCUUAAAGAGCACGUAGGCGGCCAUAUGUGUCGGUUGUGAAAUCCCUGGGCUCAACUCAGGAAUUGCUUCCGAAACUGUAUGGCUUGAGGCAUUCAGGGGUGACUGGAACUCUUGGUGGAGCGGUGACAUGCGUAGAUAUCAAGAGGAACGCCAAAGGUGAAGACAGGUCACUGGGAAUGCCCUGACGCUGAGGUGCGAAAGCUAGGGGAGCGAACGGGAUUAGAUACCCCGGUAGUCCUAGCCGUAAACGAUGUGCACUAGGUUGUGGUGGUUCUGACACCGUCACGACCGAAGCAAAAGUGUUAAGUGCACCGCCUGGGGAGUACGGUCGCAAGGCUAAAACUCAAAGGAAUUGACGGGGGCUCACACAAGCGGUGGAGCAUGUGGCUCAAUUCGAAGCAACGCGAAGAACCUUAUCCUGGGUUUGACAUGCAUGGAUGAAACCGGUGAAAGCCGGGGACUGCCUUUACGGGUGAAACAUGCACAGGUGCUGCAUGGCUGUCGUCAGCUCGUGCUGUGAAGUGUCGGGUUAAGUCCCUUAACGAGCGAAACCCUUGUCGCUAGUUGCCAGCGGGUCAUGCCGGGGACUCUAGCGAGACUGCCGGUGUUAAACCGGAGGAAGGUGGGGAUGACGUCAAGUCCUCAUGGCCUUUAUGCCCAGGGCUGCACACGUGCUACAAUGGGGUGGACAAAGGGUUGCCGACCCGCGAAGGGGAGCUAAUCCCAAAAACCGCCUCUCAGUCCGGAUUGCAGGCUGCAACUCGCCUGCAUGAAGUUGGAAUCGCUAGUAAUCGCGGAUCAGCUAUGCCGCGGUGAAUAUGUUCCUGAGCCUUGUACACACCGCCCGUCAAGCCAUGGAAGCCGGUAGUACCCGAAGUCGCCGACCCAACCCCUCGGGGAGGGAGGUGCCGACGGUAAGACUGGUGACUGGGGCUAAGUCGUAACAAGGUA